AACGAACGCUGGCGGCAGGACUAACACAUGCAAGUCGAGCGCCCGUAGCAAUACGGGAGCGGCAGACGGGUGAGUAACACGUGGGAACGUACCCUUCGGUUCGGAAUAACCCAGGGAAACUUGGACUAAUACCGGAUACGUCCGUAAGGAGAAAGAUUCAUCGCCGAAGGAUCGGCCCGCGUCCGAUUAGCUUGUUGGUGGGGUAAUGGCCCACCAAGGCGACGAUCGGUAGCUGGUCUGAGAGGAUGAUCAGCCACACUGGGACUGAGACACGGCCCAGACUCCUACGGGAGGCAGCAGUGGGGAAUAUUGGACAAUGGGCGCAAGCCUGAUCCAGCCAUGCCGCGUGGGUGAUGAAGGCCCUAGGGUUGUAAAGCCCUUUCGGCGGGGAAGAUAAUGACGGUACCCGCAGAAGAAGCCCCGGCUAACUUCGUGCCAGCCGCCGCAGUAAAAC
rnacentral:rRNA from 1 species